CACCUCUAGCAUUACCAGUAUUAGAGGCACUGCCUGCCCAGUGACAUUAGUUUAACGGCCGCGGUAUCCUGACCGUGCAAAGGUAGCAUAAUCAUUUGUUCCUUAAUUAGGGACUUGUAUGAAUGGCCCCACGAGGGUUUAACUGUCUCUUACUUUUAAUCAGUGAAAUUGACCUUCCCGUGAAGAGGCGGGAAUACAAAAAUAAGACGAGAAGACCCUAUGGAGCUUAAAUUAAAGUGUCCAACAAAAUUUAAACUUAAUCCAACAGGAAUAAUAACAUUUUAACUGGACAACAAAUUUUGGUUGGGGUGACCUCGGAGUAUAACAAAACCUCCGAGCGAUUAUAACCAAGACUUACCCGUCAAGGUGACAUAAUUUAUUGAUCCAAUCAUAUUGAUCAACGAAACAAGUUACCCUAGGGAUAACAGCGCAAUCCUAUUUAAGAGUCCAUAUCGACAAUAGGGUUUACGACCUCGAUGUUGGAUCAGGACCCCCAAAUGGUGCAGCAGCUAUUAAAGGUUCGUUUGUUCAACG
rnacentral:rRNA from 1 species